CGGACAUGAAUCUUUUUUUGCUGCUACUGGGAUUCUCUCACCCAGACGCGCUGUCACUCGGCCUCCUUGUGUCGCUCGCUGUCUGUGGCAUUGACAGACGCGGUUAAGGAGGCUUUGUCGCAACCACGCGACGUUCUCUCUUGUCUUCUUGAGUGCCUCCGUUCGCAAGAUAGUGCGUAUAAGGUGGUACCCACACUGGGUGCAAAAGGAAAUUUCCGAUAACAUGACUUGGUUUACUUUGAAAGAACGUGCCUAUAGUCGUCCUGCGUUUAGCUGUCUCCAAGCGUUGGACGAAUGCGUAGAGCGUAGUUUUUUUGAAGAUUCCCUGCUGAGUGCGCAAGUAUAAAAACAAGCGUGCGCGCGUAUACUAUAUAACGGCCGUAAUUCGACGUCAACUGGAGGAAGAGGCCUCACUUUUCAAGGGUGAAGACUUGCUAGUACAUUAAAUAUAUUAGCAGGCGCUUUUCAUCUGCGCUUCCUUCCAUGGGAAUGCACGGAGCAUGUGCCUGACCGAUUCAGCUGCUACUGCUGAUUCUGCCGAAUCGGAACCUCGCCCGUGGAUCAUCGACAACCUCGACACCAGGAACCAUGGUGAAACAACGCCGUGGGAAGACCGCACCCGCUUUUUAUAACGCAGGAGGGCAGCUACAAGGACACAAAGAUGUCAAAGAGCCAGUGCAGCGCGACUUCCCGUAGUGCACAGGAGCGCAUGCCAAAGAAUCAAGAGACAUUGCCAUGCAAUUUGGACAAGAAAACUAGAAUGUGGGUAUAUUGGGUGUGCCAUUUGACUAAAUGUCAACAAAAUCAAAAUACAGUAUGUCACACCUAGAUGGAAAUUCUCACGUGUUUAGGCAGUCAUCAUAACAUGGCGUAUUUAUGUAAUGUUUCUGAUGGGAAAGUCAAAAUCAAGCAUGCCCUCUGGAGACAAACACAUAGGAGCAAGUGUCAUUGAAAAGUUACAAAUGUGUAAAAAAAAACCUGAUUAGUUUUGUGAGAGGUGUCUGCUUUUUAACUUGCCUCUCAACAGAUAUAACCAUGGCAUAAAAAAAUUUGUGGUACAAUGAAAUUGCAUAUUUGCUUAGUGACAUGAUACAUACUUGCAAUCAGCACGUCGCCUGUGUUCUCUGUAAAAAGCAACAGCUCAUGCUUGGUUAGGUGUUUACAUGCAUUUAACGUUUAACAGCUUACAUUUAACAGCACGUGAGUGCAAGGGUGCAAAUACAGACUACUGUGAUUCUGUAUUUUAAAUGCUGACAGGAAGCAGAGAGAUAUUCAUGGCCUCGCUUUUAUAUAUUUUUACACCUAAUUUUAGAAGUAUGGCGGCCUUCUAGGUUUCAGAAAGGGGAAGCAUUGGGGGAAGAGAAUCCUAUGUUUCAGAAGUCAUUAUCGUUUACGUGCGUGCUCACGAAACCAGUUCACUAAAACCACUCGUGCCCCCCCCCCCCCCCCCCGAAGCGAAAGCAAGGAGCAAUUAAGGUCUAAUAAUGUGUACACCGCUGUGCAAAUAUGACGUCUUAGAAGCCGGAGAGCCACUUGGAAUUGAAAAUUAUUUUUAAAAUGUAAAAUUGUGCUUUCUCCUGUGAAAUAGUCAUAUGAUAGCCUCAGGCAGGUAUUUGAUAUUUUGAUUAGGGUGACUCAAUCUACUUGGCAACCAAGUAUGCUAGUGGAGGUAGAAAUGCGUUCAAUGUAAAGAACUGAGAGCAUCUGAGUAGAACAUUUGUUCAUCAAUUGGCGGAUGUGUACAUAUAGUGUUAAGUAAAAUGCCCUAAGUUUCAUGGCUUCUGUAGACAUUUUUGUAAGGCAAAAUAAAAUUUAAGCAUUUUUUUGCACAUGGUAAAUUUCUGCACUUAAGAUAAAGUGCACAGUGAGGUGAUGUAUUAUAUUUUCAGACACAUAUGUACUUGUUUUGAGACGAACAUUCUGUGAAAUGCGAUAAUUUUUCUUACUGUUGCGCAUCUUAACCAUUUCAUCAUCAGCCAUUCCAAUCAAAAAUGCGUAUGCAUUGGUGAAUGCGACGCCCAAACGUAAGGCAGCACAGCACUGCUUCCUCAUUUCGCGGAAGACCUGAUAACAGCCGCAGUUGCUUAGAGGGAUCGAGGGAAUGCAAUUGAUGUUGAGUGAAUUCAGGUGUGUGCCACUUCUCCAAUGUCAUAGAGUGCGCUAUAUGUGUGAGAAAGUGCAACGUAUAAAUCUCAACAGCACCAGGAAACUGCUUUCGUGAGGAAGCCAACGAAAUAGGAAAUAUGAUACGCCUCUGUACCGCUUUGAGACCGGGCAGGACAUGGCUGCAAAACCACGACAAGACACACUUAGGAACAAUGGGGUGCAGACCAUAGAUGAAUACCUUUAUGUGAAAUAUAAGCAAAGCUAGCUAUACCUGCGGCCUCACAUGAGAAUAUACAACUCAUUUCUAAAUGCAUUGUACUCAGUCAGGAACAUCCAUACGCUGUACAGGACGUUAUCAAAUGAGAUGCCAUCUUAGAAUAUGGCACACAAAAAAGUUGCUUGCGCAAUUUAUCUACAUUACCAGCCGCAUGCAUAGCAGUUCAUCUGUUAACCUCUGCCAUAUAAGUGCACGCGUUUUGUGCCAGAAAUGCGUUUGCUGGCCAGUAAUGUGGCGCAUAUUUCUCUUCGAUCAUAGUGUCAAUAUUUUGUGAGUUUGCACACGUUUUUUCUUUGUCUAACUUUCCAUUGUAUACUUUAUUUUCGAGAAGAAGGAGCGAAUUGAAAUUACAGGAUAUUUCUACACUGUAAUACUGAUGAAACUUUGGAGAAUAUACUUAUGUUUUAUUACUAGAUGUGUUCUAAAGUUCAUGGACAUCAUUGUAAUGUGAUUUUAUGUGUUUGUCAGUAUGUUUCUCAAAUUAUUAUUCAGUUUGUCUUGUGACUGAUCAAUAAAGAUUUUGACCUUUUAAG